GACGAACGCUGGCGGCGUGCUUAACACAUGCAAGUCGAACGGAAAGGCCCUGCUUGCAGGGUACUCGAGUGGCGAACGGGUGAGUAACACGUGGGUGAUCUGCCCUGCACUUCGGGAUAAGCUUGGGAAACUGGGUCUAAUACCGGAUAGGAGCCAUCUUUAGUGUGGUGGUUGGAAAGUUUUUUCGGUGUAGGAUGAGCUCGCGGCCUAUCAGCUUGUUGGUGGGGUAAUGGCCUACCAAGGCGGCGACGGGUAGCCGGCCUGAGAGGGUGUACGGCCACAGUGGGACGGAGAUACGGCCCAGACUCCUACGGGAGGCAGCAGUGGGGAAUAUUGCACAAUGGGCGCAAGCCUGAUGCAGCGACGCCGCGUGGGGGAUGAAGGCCUUCGGGUUGUAAACUCCUUUCGCUAGGGACGAAGCUUUGUUGUGACGGUACCUAGAUAAGAAGCACCGGCUAACUACGUG
rnacentral:rRNA from 1 species